rnacentral:lncRNA from 1 species
CUACUUUUCCCAACUAAUAUGAGGACAUCACAACAAAUAUUCAGCAGCAGCUCAAGAAAACCUCAUCAAAUUUCAAUCUCCAAUCAUACACUAACAAACUCAUAAAUCACAUCAACAUAUUCAUUGCCAUGCAUCCAACUCAAAGCACUUAAAAUCUGUGUACACUGCAUUUUGAAUUUUGUGAUCUACUAGUGAAAAACAUAACUAUUUGCCUUAAUUGCGGUACAUAAACACUUGCUUUAAUUGCAGUACAUACACCAGAAAACAAAAAGAUUGGUUUAAUUGCAGUACAUAACCGUCAAUGCAAAACAUUUGUUGCCAGGUUUUGCACCAAUUUCCUCAUGAACCAACCCUAAUCACUAUCCACAAACACCCAACUUCAGGGACUGCUGGCACAUAAUAUGCAGCAACAUACACCAAUAAACAAAAAUAUGGGACUGCUGUCACAUAGUUGAUCGUCACUGCUGUCCCAAUUUCGCAGAUUUCCUCCUAGGACGUGCUCGUGCCUUGGCCUUUCCCAAUUUGUCUGAUUCCAGUCCUGCCGUGUCCUACAUGUCGUGAAUGGUGUCGUCGAAGUUCACAUUUACGAUGGGAACUUGAUGGUCGCCUGUUGCAUUCCAAUGAGUUGCUGCUGGUCCCUCUCGAAAACGUCCUGGCCAAGAUUCAUGUUCCACAGUAGGCGUUGGUCCCGGAGAUUCAUUACAAUGAAGGAGGUUCGGCUGACAAGAAAAAUGAAGGAAAAUUCAACAUAGUGUUUUCAAUUCAAAUAAAAUAAUUCGACCUCAUAAAUCCCAAAAAAAAAAUACGAUUCAUACAUAUCGAG